rnacentral:rRNA from 1 species
UGCUUAGGAAUCUACCAAGUAGUGGGGGAUAGCCAUUGGAAACGAUGAUUAAUACCGCAUAUAUCCUACGGGGGAAAGCAGGGGAUCUUCGGACCUUGCGCUAUUUGAUGAGCCUGAGUGAGAUUAGCUAGUUGGUGGGGUAAAGGCCUACCAAGGCGACGAUCUCUAGCUGGUCUGAGAGGAUGAUCAGCCACACUGGGACUGAGACACGGCCCAGACUCCUACGGGAGGCAGCAGUGGGGAAUUUUGCGCAAUGGGGGAAACCCUGACGCAGCAACGCCGCGUGGAGGAUGAAAUCCC